rnacentral:tRNA from 1 species
GCCGGAGUGGCGGAAUGGCAGACGCGCUGGACUCAAAAUCCAGUGGGCUUCGGCCCAUGAGGGUUCAAGUCCCUCCUCCGGUA